UGGAGAGUCCAGGCCUGACAGUCUGUUUGGGGAGCAGGAGGCGGCAGGUGGCCACUCCCUCACCUGUGUACUCUGCUGGAAGAAGCUCUCCUCUCUGUGCCAGAGCGUUUGGCAUAGCUGUGUGGAGCAAUGACAGCUGUGAGGGAGUUCAAGUCUGGGUUAGAACGAUACCAUACCGCACCCAGCAGCACCCAGCAGACCUGAUCGGUGUCAAGGGCAAGAAUCCCCAACAGGUGCCGUCCAGCUCGGAUUCAUAUGCAUUCAGACGGUAGCAGAAACGGACUGUGCAGAUGAAUGGACACCUGUAAGACAAAGAGAAGGGACACAAGAGCGCUGGAGGAGGAACAGGGGAGUUAUUUGCUCAGGGCAGCAGGUGUGUGUGGGAGUGUGGGUCCUUUCAAAAAUGGGGUGGUCACCGAAUCCAGACUCAGCGGGGGACCACAGUGCUCACCGAGGUGUGAAGUGGCCUGGGCCAGGAGCGGAUUAUAAACCUGUCGUGCUUUACAAUAGAGGUGAGAAGCAGCAAGGGGCCCUGGGUUACAGCUCAGCAAACAGGACAAACUGCACAUAUCCCAAACGUUAAGAGGGGCUGUGAAUGGAGACCUGCUGUUUGAAAUGAUAUACAAUUAAACCUCCUGCAGGAAGAAGUAUAAAGGUCACUGUGGUGGUCAUUAAACAGCGGGUCAUUAAAGACAGGUUAGACCUGUAAACAAGACAGGUUUGAUACCGUCACAAAGGGCGACUUAAAUGAUCACACUGACUCGCAAAUGUUGUGGAAAUUGAGUGUUAAAAUAAAGCUGAUUGGCUGAUUAUUUUGUUAGAUUGGCAAAAAAGUGUAACUUGUGUCAACAUUAAAGAAAGGAACUGAGAGGAUUAUUUCCAGUAACUCAAAUCUCCCUCACUGUGAUUAAGGCUGUUAAAUAAGAUCAACUAAAUCGAUCCAAACAGAGGAAUAAAGAGUAAUAAAUAUAGAUGUUUAGAAUCAAUUAAAUUCAAAUUAAUUACUUUCAAGAAAACAAUCUACCGUGCAUAAACAAUUUUAAGUUGUUUAAACUUGAAAGGAGAAAGGUUACUCUCCUAGGAUAAACAUUAUGGAUCUAAUACAGGACCAUUUUGACCUUUAAAUAUAGAUUUGUUAAAUCAGUUUUCUUGACAGGCACUAGGUAGAAUCAAUUUGUUUAUUUCAGCAAAAAUAGUGAAAAAAGGUGCGCCAGUGGGCCUUGUGGUUAGGUCGCACUCCUCAUGUAUAGAGGCUUUAGUUCUCGAAGCUGGCAGCCCGGGUUUGACUCUGACACCCUAAGCUCUUUACCUGCAUUUCUGUCCCUAAUUUCCUCCUCUAUCCACUGUCCUGUCUCUAAAAUAAAGAAUUUCUUUAUGAAGAAAACAGGAUUCAUUUAAACCACUAUUCAUUUAAAAAUGAGCUUUAAUUUUGAAACUGUAAGCUUACCACUGCUUUAAGUGAGAUACAAAAUGUACAGCCCCAGGCACAUGGAGUAAAUGUUUUUUUAUUUUGUUGAACCCUUUAAACUCUGUGGGAUAACUCACUCUAGAAUGAGGUUUAAAUUCCAGCUCAUACACCUGUUAGAAAUGCCUGAAUGUGAAGGUUGUUUUUUUUUAAUGUGGUGACUUUGAACUUUCUGGCAAAACAAAGCAGCCGCCCCUGUCAGAACUUUGUUUUACUUUCCAGUGACACCCCGAGGUCUUUGGUUUGUCUCCGAUUUGUUUUAGCGCGAUGUAGGAGCAUGAAAAGAACUGAACUGGGAGACAGGGAUUUCUAUCAUUGUGAUUAUUAUCAAGUAUACGUUUCACACAAAAAAAAACGCAAUGACCCCUUGAUUUCCAAUAAGGUAUGAUGUAUUAAGCUGAGGUGACACAUUUACCUGUCACUCUCCCCUGACUGGAUCUUAACGAGGCAUUUGGGGGCUGUCACCGUUGUGGGUGUAGUCGGGGAGUGUUGGGACACGUUCAGAGGGCAGUGAUGGCACGCCUGGCAUGCUUCAGUGGAUUUUAUGUUCGUCAGCUGCUCAGGGCAUCAAACAGUGUAAUGACAUGACAGAGGUCAGUCUUCAUAGUGCUCUGCUGAGACACAAAAAUGGAGGAAAGAUGGUUCAGGAUGUAAUUGUAAGCUGGUUUAUGUGCAUCUGUGUCAAAGAAUUUAAAAAAGAAAACAUAAUUACAGGUGCAUACUAUCGGGUAAACUUCAGGCGGCAGAUUGAGAUUUCUUUCUGAUAGCCAAUAGAAAAUAAAUGACUGGUAAAGAGGGAUGAAGAAUAGAGAAAAUGACAUGACAUCCAUUAACUGUAUAUAGCAUUGAUGCAGUGUCUCAUCUUAUCUGAAAAGUAGUUUUUUUUUAUUUGAGUGGAGGUUUAUAAGUGAUUCUGUCACUAAAUGCUGAGGGAGUUUGGUUCUAAAUGGGGAUGCAGGCAGGUUGUUAUUAAAGACUCAAACAUGAUGAUUCAGGGUCAGUACAACCAAAUAAAAAGAGAAAAAGCAAAGAUGAUUGAAUGUUUUCUAAAUGGGACUACUUUCCAUGAAAGAAAUAGUCGCUAUAAAAGACUGUUGACAGCAAGGUUCAAGAUUAUCAAGAUGAACACUGACACUGGACUAGAAAAGAAAAAAACAUGUUUAGUUGUUCAAAAACCACAAACUAAAUUUCAAUGGCUUCAGUUGUAUCACAGUGGAGACAGAAAUGUAAGAGUCUAAUAAUUCAAAAUCAAGAUAACCUAUCAGUACAAGAUGCAUAUUCUGCAAGCGCUGCAAACUAUUAAACUACGUCUUAACAACCAAACUAUUAAAUAACCUCAGAUGCACUCUUGCAUUGAUUUCCAUGUGUAUUUCUUUUUUUACUGUCACAGGUCAUCUUAAAUUACUUCAUAGUGUGACUUCAUAUAUGAUUUCCAUGCUUUACACGCCUUUAGAUAAAAGUAAAUGUGUGCAAAUCAACAUGCAAAGAAACAUGUCCCUUUAAACUGAAUAACCUUUUGUCAGCAUUAAACUCUGAUUGUUGUUGUGUUAACACUAAAUGAGGUAAAUUGCAUUAAAUUGUCGUUUAGCUGAACUGCUGUCCUGUCAGGUUAAAGGCAGGGAAGAGACUGAUCCGACAAACGUUCACUCAUGCUUCCUUUGAAAACGCUCUCCUGCACCCUUCCACUCUCACUGACACACACACGCCUGCAUGCACAUGCACAUCCACACAAACAAACAUCCUCCCUCUCACCGCACACAACCUCGCACGGAAAACAGAGGGGGGAGGGGCAA